GAUGAACGCUAGCGAUAGGCCUAACACAUGCAAGUCGAGGGGCAUCACAUGAAGUAGCAAUACGGAUGGUGGCGACCGGCGCACGGGUGAGUAACACGUAUGCAACCUGCCUUCAACAAGGGGAUAACCCGUUGAAAGACGGACUAAUACCCUAUAACACAGGGGUCCCGCAUGGGAAUAUUUGUUAAAGGACAACCGGUUGAAGAUGGGCAUGCGUUCCAUUAGCUAGUUGGCGGGGUAACGGCCCACCAAGGCAACGAUGGAUAGGGGAACUGAGAGGUUUAUCCCCCACACUGGUACUGAGACACGGACCAGACUCCUACGGGAGGCAGCAGUGAGGAAUAUUGGUCAAUGGACGCAAGUCUGAACCAGCCACGUCGCGUGAAGGAAGACGGC
rnacentral:rRNA from 1 species